UACGUAGGGGGCAAGCGUUGUCCGGAAUCAUUGGGCGUAAAGCGCGCGUAGGCGGCCCGGUAAGUCCGCUGUAAAAGUCCAGGGCUCAACCCUGGAAAGCCGGUGGAUACUGUCGGGCUAGAGUCCGGAAGAGGCGAGUGGAAUUCCUGGUGUAGCGGUGGAAUGCGCAGAUAUCAGGAGGAACACCGGUGGCGAAGGCGGGACUCUGGGCCGAUACUGACGCUGAGGAGCGAAAGCGUGGGGAGCGAACAGG
rnacentral:rRNA from 1 species